rnacentral:rRNA from 1 species
AUUGAACGCUGGCGGCAGGCCUAACACAUGCAAGUCGAGCGAGCGGCGGACGGGGGAGUAAUGUAUGGGGACUGCCCGAUAGAGGGGGAUAAAUACUGGAAACGCUAGCUAAUACCCCAUAUUACCGGAGUACCCACAUGGGAUUAGCUAGUAGGUGUGGUAAAGGCUCACCUAGGAGACGAUCACUAGCUGGUCUAUGAGGAUGAUCAGCCAAACUGGGACUGAGACACGGCCCAGACGCCUUCGGAGGGAGCAGUGGGGAAUAUUGCACAAUGGGCGAAAGCCUGAUGCAGCCAUGCCGCGUGUAUGAAGAAGGCCCUAGGGUUGUAAAGUACUUUCAGGGGGGAGGCGUUACCCGCAGAAGAAGCACCGGCUAACUCCGUGCCAGCAGCCGCGGUAAUUC